rnacentral:lncRNA from 1 species
UUCAGUGUCUAAGUAUCGAUUGAAGAUUACUCUGUCAUUUUGCACCGGUAUAGUUGUUUGGAAGUCUCAUAUCCUUCCACACAUGAUUAUUGUCAUACAACUCUUUGUAAUGAAAAAUUAUGUGUUAACAUCUAUAUUCUCAAGUUGCUUUUGUAACACAGUGACAUAGUUGCAAGUAUCACAUACAUUGCAGUACUAUUAUCAUCACUGCGUUUACUAUAGUAGCCACCUCUUC